CAGCUGUAGGGCCACAGAAGGCAGGACACCCUGACCAUGUCCACCAUGGCCUGGUCCCGUCUGCUUCUCACCCUGGUCGCUCUCUACACAGGAUCCUGGGCCCAGGAUGUGCUGACUCAGCCACCCUCCGUGUCCGGGUCCCCGGGUCAGACGGUCACCAUCUCCUGCACUGGGAGCAGCAACAGCAUUGGCUAUGGCAAUUAUCUGAACUGGUACCAACAGAUCCCAGGAUCGGGCCCCAGAAGCCUUAUCUAUGGUACUACCAUUCGAUACUCGGGUGUCCCCGACCGGUUCUCCGGCUCCAGUUCUGGCAACACAGCCACCCUGACCAUCACUUCGCUCCAGGCUGAAGACGAGGGGGAUUAUUACUGUGCACCUUACGGAAGUAGUAGCUAUGAAGAUUGCACAGUGCUCCAGGCCUGGGGGAAGUGAGACAAAAACCUGCUCUGCUCCUGACAUGGGCCUCCCAGGGCUGAACCAUCUCUGUCAAAGCAGACACUGUAGCAACAGCUGUGAAAUGGACAUAAAUCUUAUU